UCUGCGUUUGCGAUACCGAACCAUCUUAUAAAAUAUAGAUUCAGUUACGUCCUAGCGACAGAGUGCAACAAGUAAUCUCCGCUUUCUGUUCCCGGUACGUAGAAUUUGACGCGAGCAGACGGUCCGACGACGCAGACGAAAUGUCAUUAAGUGACGUCACGCGCCACCUUGUGUAAGGGGACGCAUAAUCGCACACUACUGCCGCAGCUUGAUCUCCACUGUUAUGUAAGCAUAGCCACUAAUCACCGUGAUAUGUUAUGAUACGAAUAAAAAUUUGGCGCAGAAUGGAAUGCCUAGCGAUGCAGUGUGGGGUCUUCACACACACAUGAGUGGCGUCGACUAUCGGGUGACAUGAUGACAUGAAGGCGAGACCGACACGGAGCGACGGAUAUGAGUCCUUCCUCCGCGUUAUCGGCCGGCACUUUUGUUAAAUUAAAAUGGAUGAGGUUUAAAGUGGAACAAGCCGUAACUAACUGUUGGCGCGGCGACGUCUGCGCACGAUUACAACAAUCUACUACGCGACGGACGUGGUAGAAAAUAGGACGAUCGGCGCGCUCUGGGCGACGCGACGCGACGCGACGCCAACGCAUGGGGUCGCUCUCCCUCGCUCGCUCUAUAAUCGCGGAAUUUUAUUCACUGUUUUCCCAAAAUAUAUGUAGUCAGUAAAUUAUAAAGACAUAGAACAAUUCUAUAGCAUUUAGAAAGCAAAAUAAGAAUAAAAAAUUACAAUCUUGGCGGUUAGACCAUUUCUUUAAUGUAAAAUUUACUUCACGUCGAAGAUUUUAUUGCAUGUCCUUGACUGAGUACAUAUACUUCGGCAAAUGGAUCUUGUAUAAUUUCAUAAAUAAAUAUUCCUUCAUUUUAAUCAUUUAA